rnacentral:rRNA from 1 species
GACGAACGCUGGCGGCGUGCUUAACACAUGCAAGUCGAACGGAAAGGCCCUGCUUUUGUGGGGUGCUCGAGUGGCGAACGGGUGAGUAACACGUGAGUAACCUGCCCUUGACUUUGGGAUAACUUCAGGAAACUGGGGCUAAUACCGGAUAGGAGCUCCUGCUGCAUGUUGGGGGUUAGAAAGUUGCGGCGGUUGGGGAUGGUCUCGCGGCUUAUCAGCUUGUUGGUGGAGUAGUGGCUUACCAAGGCUUUGACGGGUAGCCUGCCUGAGAGGGUGGCCGGCGACAAGGGGACUGAGAGACGGCGCAGACUGCAACGGGAGGCAGCAGGCGGGAAUAUGGCACAAUGGGCGGAAGCCUGAUGCAGCAACGCCGCGUGCGGGAUGACGUCCUUCGGGUUGUAAACCGCUGUCGCCUGUGACGAAGCGUGAGUGACGGUAAUGGGUAAAGAAGCACCGGCUAACUACGUG